GUCAGCCGCCGCGGUAAUACCCGCAGCCCAAGUGGUGGUCGAUUUAUUGAGUCUAAAACGUUCGUAGCCGGUUCAUUAAAUCCUUGGGUAAAUCGGAUGGCUUAACUAUCCGAAUUCCGGGGAGACUGGUGAACUUGGGACCGGGAGAGGCAAGAGGUACUUUUGGGGUAGGGGUAAAAUCCUGUAAUCCUAAAAGGACCACCGGUGGCGAAGGCGUCUUGCUAGAACGGAUCCGACGGUGAGGGACGAAGCCCUGGGUCGCAAACGGGAUUAGAUACCCCGGUAGUCCAGGGUGUAAACGCUGCAGACUUGGUGUUGGGACCCUUUGGGGGUGUUCAGUGCCGGAGAGAAGUUGUUAAGUCUGCUACUUGGGGAGUACGUCCGCAAGGAUGAAACUUAAAGGAAUUGGCGGGGGAGACCACCGCAACGGGAGGAACGUGCGGUUUAAUUGGAUUCAACACCGGAAAACUCACCAGCAGCGACUAUUACAUGAAAGUCAGGCCGAUGACCUUACUAGAUUUUUAGAGGGGAGGUGCAUGG
rnacentral:rRNA from 1 species